CACGAGGCUACUGCGAAAGCAUUUGCCAAGAAUGUUUUCAUUAAUCAAGAUCGAAAGUCAGAGGUUCGAAGACGAUCAGAUACCGUCGUAGUUCUGACCAUAAACGAUGCCAACUAGCGAUCCGCCGGAGUUGCUUCAAUGACUCGGCGGGCAGCUUACGGGAAACCAAAGUUUUUGGGUUCCGGGGGAAGUAUGGUUGCAAAGCUGAAACUUAAAGGAAUUGACGGAUAUAUUUACUUCUUCAAAAAGAGGAGCUAUAUACGUGUGAGUCCUAAUACCCGAGGUGAAGUAAGCGGAUAUCCGGGAGAUGGCGCCGCAUCGUGGCUGAAAUCGUUGUGCAUAGAACCUCACCAAUAGGAACGCUUGCUUUCUGAGCACGUAUAUUCAUUUAGAAUUACGAAGAAAUCCACAUGAAGUGUUGACAAUGUCUCGCGUAUCUCAAAGUAUGUGAUGAUCCACGACACAUGUCCGUCAAACGAACAUAAAACUGGACAAACAUGAUUGGUCGAAAUGUUCGAA
rnacentral:rRNA from 1 species